UGGGGAAUAUUGCACAAUGGAGGGAACUCUGAUGCAGCGACGCCGCGUGAACGAAGAAGGCUUUCGAGUCGUAAAGUUCUUUUAUAUGGGAAGAUAAUGACGGUACCAUAAGAAAAAGCCCCGGCUAACUACGUGCCAGCAGCCGCGGUAAUACGUAGGGGGCUAGCGUUGUCCGGAAUCACUGGGCGUAAAGGGUUCGCAGGCGGAAAUGCAAGUCAGGUGUAAAAGGCAGUAGCUUAACUACUGUAAGCAUUUGAAACUGCAUAUCUUGAGAAGAGUAGAGGUAAGUGGAAUUUUUAGUGUAGCGGUGAAAUGCGUAAAUAUUAAAAAGAAUACCGGUGGCGAAGGCGACUUACUGGGCUCAUUCUGACGCUGAGGAACGAAAGCGUGGGUAGCAAACAGG
rnacentral:rRNA from 2 species